UACGAAGGGGGCUAGCGUUGUUCGGAAUUACUGGGCGUAAAGGGCGCGUAGGCGGAUUGAUCAGUUUGGUGUGAAAGCCCGGGGCUCAACCUCGGAACUGCACUGAAUACUGUCAAUCUAGAAUCCCGGAGGGGAGUGUGGAAUUUCUAGUGUAGAGGUGAAAUUCGUAGAUAUUAGAAAGAACACCGGUGGCGAAGGCGACACUCUGGACGGGUAUUGACGCUGAGGCGCGAAAGCGUGGGGAGCAAACAGG
rnacentral:rRNA from 1 species